GAUGAACGCUGGCGGCGUGCCUAAUACAUGCAAGUCGAGCGAACAGACGAGGAGCUUGCUCCUCUGACGUUAGCGGCGGACGGGUGAGUAACACGUGGAUAACCUACCUAUAAGACUGGGAUAACUUCGGGAAACCGGAGCUAAUACCGGAUAAUAUAUUGAACCGCAUGGUUCACUAGUGAAAGACGGUUUUGCUGUCACUUAUAGAUGGAUCCGCGCCGCAUUAGCUAGUUGGUAAGGUAACGGCUUACCAAGGCGACGAGGCGUAGCCGACCCGAGAGGGUGAGUGGCCACACUGGAAGUGAGACAGGGUCCAGACUCCGACGGGAGGCAGCGGUAGGGAAUCUUCCGCAAUGGGCGAAAGCCGGACGGUGCAACGCGGCGUGAGGGAUGAUGGUCUUCGGAUCGGAAAGCUCUGUAAUUAGGGAAGAACAAAUGUGUAAGUAACUAGGAACGUCUUGACGGUACCUAAUCAAAAAGCCACGGCUAACUACGUG
rnacentral:rRNA from 1 species